CCUACGGGUGGCAGCAGUGGGGAAUAUUGCACAAUGGGGGAAACCCUGAUGCAGCGACGCCGCGUGAGUGUAGAAGUAUUUCGGUAUGUAAAGCUCUAUCAGCAUGAAAGAAAUAGCGACCUUUGGGUCGCCAGACGGUACCUGACUAAGACGCCCCGGCUAACUACGUGCCAGCAGCCGCGGUAAUACGUAGGGGGGAAGCGUUGUCCGGAUUUACUGGGUGUAAAGGGAGCGUAGACGGCAGCACAAGUCUGAAGUGAAAUGGCGGGGCUUAACCCCGGAACUGCUUUGGAAACUGUGCAGCGAGAGUGCAGGAGAGGUAAGUGGAAGUCCUAGUGUAGCGGUGAAAUGCGUAGAUAUUAGGAGGAACACCAGUGGCGAAGGCGGCUUACUGGACUGUAACUGACGUUGAGGCUCGAAAGCGUGGGGAGCAAACAGGAUUAGAUACCCCGGUAGUC
rnacentral:rRNA from 1 species